rnacentral:rRNA from 1 species
AUUGAACGCUGGCGGCAUGCUUUACACAUGCAAGUCGAACGGUAACAGGCCGCCAGGUGCUGACGAGUGGCGAACGGGUGAGUAAUGCAUCGGAACGUGCCCAGUCGUGGGGGAUAACUACUCGAAAGAGUAGCUAAUACCGCAUACGAUCUAUGGAUGAAAGCGGGGGACCGUAAGGCCUCGCGCGAUUGGAGCGGCCGAUGUCAGAUUAGGUAGCUGGUGGGGUAAAGGCUCACCAAGCCAACGAUCUGUAGCUGGUCUGAGAGGACAACCAGCCACACUGGGACUGAGACACGGCCCAGACUCCUACGGGAGGCAGCAGUGGGGAAUUUUGGACAAUGGGCGCAAGCCUGAUCCAGCAAUGCCGCGUGCAGGAAGAAGGCCUUCGGGUUGUAAACUGCUUUUGUACGGAACGAAACGGCUCUGGUUAAUACCCGGGGCUAAUGACGGUACCGUAAGAAUAAGCACCGGCUAACUACGUG